AACUUUCAGCAAUGGAUCUCUUGGCUCUCGCAUCGAUGAAGAACGCAGCGAAAUGCGCUAAGUAAUGUGAAUUGCAGAAUUCAGUGAAUCAUCGAAUCUUUGAACGCACCUUGCACCCUUUGGAAUUCCGAAGGGUAUGCUCGUUUGAGUGUCAUUGUACUCUCACACUCUCUGAUCCUUUGGAUUCGGGGAGGGGUGGACUUUGGUGUUUGCUGCUGUUCGUUGUGGCUCACCUCACAUGCGUUAGUGCACCUCUUGGUGGGACAUAGUACGGCGUGAUAAGUAUCUUCGCCGGCACCUCGCGAGAGGGUGGCCGAUCGAGAGCUCUGUGCUUUCCAACCGUCUUCGGACACCAUCUGACAACGUGACCUCAAAUCGAGUAGGACUACCCGCUGAACUUAAGCAUAGCAAGAAGCGGAGGCU
rnacentral:misc_RNA from 1 species